GACCAGACUCCUACGGGAGGCAGCAGUGGGGAAUAUUGCACAAUGGGGGAAACCCUGAUGCAGCGACGCCGCGUGGGUGAAGAAGCGCCUCGGCGCGUAAAGCCCUGUCAGCAGGGAAGAAAAUGACGGUACCUGAAGAAGAAGCCCCGGCUAACUACGUGCCAGCAGCCGCGGUAAUACGUAGGGGGCAAGCGUUAUCCGGAUUUACUGGGUGUAAAGGGGGCGCAGACGGCGAUGCAAGCCAGGAGUGAAGGCCCGGGGCCCAACCCCGGGACUGCUCUUGGAACUGCGUGGCUGGAGUGCAGGAGGGGCAGGCGGAAUUCCUGGUGUAGCGGUGAAAUGCGUAGAUAUCAGGAGGAACACCGGUGGCGAAGGCGGCCUGCUGGACUGCAACUGACGUUGAGGCCCGAAAGCGUGGGGAGCAAACAGGAUUAGAUACCCCCGUAA
rnacentral:rRNA from 1 species